AACCAGCACCUCAAGUGGUCAGGAUGAUUAUUGGGCCUAAAGCAUCCGUAGCCGGCUCUGUAAGUUUUCGGUUAAAUCUGUACGCUCAACGUACAGGCUGCCGGGAAUACUGCAGAACUAGGGAGUGGGAGAGGUAGAGGUACUUGCAGGGGAGCGGUGAAAUGUUGUAAUCCUGCAGGGACCACCAGUGGCGAAGGCGUCUAAUCAUAACGGCUCUGACGGUGAGGAACGAAACCCUGGGGCGCAAGGGG
rnacentral:rRNA from 1 species